rnacentral:tRNA from 1 species
GCGUCGGUGGUUCAGCGGUAGAAUACUCGCCUGCCACGCGGGUGGCCCGGGUUCGAUUCCCGGCCGACGCA